AUACGGAGGGUGCAAGCGUUAAUCGGAAUUACUGGGCGUAAAGAGUACGUAGGUGGUUUAUUAAGUCAGAUGUGAAAGCCCCGGGCUCAACCUGGGAACUGCAUUUGAAACUAGUAGACUAGAGUAUGGUAGAGGGGGGUAGAAUUUCUAGUGUAGCGGUGAAAUGCGUAGAUAUUAGAAGGAAUACCAGUGGCGAAGGCGGCCCCCUGGACCAAUACUGACACUGAGGUACGAAAGCGUGGGUAGCGAACAGGAUUAGAAACCCUAGUAGUCC
rnacentral:rRNA from 1 species